GCCCAGGUGACGUGGGUGUCCCUGUGGUAUGGCACAGGUGGCCCAGGUGGCCCAAGUGUGCCACAGGUGGCCCCGGUGGCCCCGGGUGACGCGGGUGUCCCCGCAGGUACUGCCUGCUGCAGUCCAUCAAGCACUGCCAGGUGCAGCGCGAGAGCCUGGUGCGCGCCGGGAAGAAGAUCGCCUACCAGGGCCGCGUCAAGGACGAGCCGGCCUACUACUGCAACGAGUGCGACGUGGAGGUGUUCAACAUCCUGUUCGUGACGAGCGAGACGGGCGGGCGCAACACCUACCUGGUGCACUGCGAGGGCUGCGCGCGGCGCCGCGGCGGCGGCCUGGCCGGCGUCGUCGUCCUCGAGCAGUACAAGACCGAGGAGCUGAUGCAGAUCUACGACGGCUUCACCCUGGUGACGCCGCCGACCCCCAGAUGAGCCCGGGACCCCCCCCAGGGGACACCUCGGCGGGGGAGGGGCCAGGAGGGGCCCCCCGCCCCUCCCCCCACGAACACUUUUUAUUUAUUCGCGGAGAAAUCGCCCCAAAAAUCGUCCGGGCGGGCAGGACGCCCCUCCCCCGCCGCGGGGGGGAGGGGGUUUGGGUGGGAAAACUCCGAUUUUAUACAAAAAUCCCGAUUUUUAGGAAUUUCCAAAGCCCCUCCCCCCGCCCGGCCCGGGAUGGGGGGAGGGUCUUUCUGCUCCCCCUCCCCCACCCCCACAUUUUGGGGGGCUGUGAGCUCAGAGGGGGUUGGGGGGAGGGGAGGCUCCGCUCCCGCCCCUCCCCCCUCAUUUUGGGGGUGCUCGUGCCCCUCCCCCAACACAAAGGGGGCACCCGGGGGGGGUCCCCGCCCCCUCCCCUCAGCAUUAAAGGGGGGGAGGGGCUGGGGGGGAGGGGCACUUUUUUUGGGGGGGGGUCGGACCCCUUGCCAAGAUUCAACCAAAAACUCGCCCCGCCCCCAAAAGCGGCCGCCCCUCCCCCCCA
rnacentral:lncRNA from 1 species